AAGGAAAAAUACAACUGUUUAUGCGGCAGUUAUUAAAGAUUGUGGCCCUGGUUUAAUAGGACGAGAUUGUGAUAUUCCUUGUCCUUAUCCAGGGUUUGGGAAAGGAUGCCAGGAAACAUGUAAUUGCGGAGUGGAAUAUUGUGAUAGGGAACAUGGAUGCCAAGAUGGUUCUCAAACUCUUUCUCCGGCAGCAAUAACAGGCACCAGUAAGCUGUAUUUCAAAACAAGGAAUAUUUCCAUAUGUCAAACUGGGUUCUUUGGAAUCAAAUGUGAAGAUAAAUGUCGAUACCCAAGUUAUGGCCACAAUUGUCAACAACAAUGUUUGUGCAGAGAGGACCUGUGCAAUCAUGUCUCUGGAUGUCUAA